rnacentral:lncRNA from 1 species
CCCAUCCAGGUGGGGGGUAACAGUCAGUAAGUCAGGUGUUGUCCUUCCCUCUAACCUCUCCCAUCCAGGUGAGGGGUAACAGUCAGUAAGUCAGGUGUUGUCCUUCCCUCUAACCUCUCCCAUCCAGGUGGGGGGAGACAGUCAGUAAGUCAGGUGAUGUCCUUCCCUCUAACCUCUCCCAUCCAGGUGGGGGGUAACAGUCAGUAAGUCAGGUGAUGUUCUUCCCUCUAACAUCUCCCAUCCAGGUGGGGGUAACAGUCAGUAAGUCAGGUGUUGUCCUUCCCUCUCCCAUCCAGGUGGGUAACAGUCAG